AUAAAAUCAGAAAAUAAACAAAGCCAAAUACAAAAAUUAUUCUAAUCUCGAAUUCUAAACCCUGAACCAAAAGUUCUAGGUUCUUAUCCCCAGCAGAGUCGCCAGAGCUAUCACACCUCCUUUUUACCUACCGCCGAAAGGUAUAAUGAGUUUUUUCAAUUAAAGUAAAAUUGAAACGGAAUUUAUUAUCAAAAGUUCAAUUAAAAUUGAAACGGAAUUUAUUAUCAAAAGUUCAAAGUCGCCACUUGGGUGAUUUACGGUGUUCCAAGUCACCGAUUUAAUCCCGAAUCGAGGAAAAUAAUGACUCUGUUUAACAGUCUGUGAACCAGAAAUCUAAGUAAGGAAUUCUGUUAACCAGGGAGAAGGUGUUAGGAAUUCUUAGGUUCCGUGGUUCUAGCACGGUCGCUCAACUGUCAUAUUCGGCUUAAAUUAUCUAAUUUUAUUAGUUAUGAACCUAUACGCAAAUUCUAACUUUAACCUCUUUUAUUCAUUUUUAAGUGAAUUGCAACGUCAUUAAAAUAUGUCAUAAACCACGUCACAUAAAUAAUCCCGUGGUUUUUGACAUAUUUUAACAUCGUUGAGAAUUAGAUUUAGGUCACAUAAAUGCACACCCCAAUUUAGGAAAGUAAUAUUAUUAAACUAAUGUGCCUAAAAGCAACUAACACAUUGUUAACUUUGCGAUGUCCAUGCAAAUUUUCUAAAUGGCACGCCUCGGUUGUAAAGAUCAAUUCAAGAUUAGUUAAAAUAAGGGUCAUGCAUUUGUCAUUUUUUAUCAUGGCACACCUCGAUUUAUUUUACUCAAGAGGUCUCUAAAUUAAAUACUAGGGCCAUACACUUUAUUCUAGGUCAAUGGCACACCUUUAAACUACUUAAGAGUAUGACUAAUUAGGAAUUAAAGAGGUGGGGGAUUUGUUCAAACUAGGUGAAUGGGGCUGAGUUUAUAGAGGUCGAUAAUCAGAAAUAGGGCAGAAGGGGCGACUAGAGGGUCUAGGUCCUAUCUCUAUGUAUUUGGGCCCAAAGCAAGCCAAAUUGCAAAGCACCUGAAACCUACACCAGCGGGGUAACAAGGAGGUGCAUAUAACAAAACUAGACCACAACAGGGAGUGACAAUUUUAAGGAACAUGUAUUAACAAAGGGAUUUAAACCUCAUAGAUCCAUAGGGUAUGAUAUUGAGCAACCAUAAAAAAUAAAUCUACCAUUACUAGUCAGUGAAACACUGAUUGUAAUUAACUGAAUACCACUUUAGUUUAACCACAUUCACAUGAUAAUCUUCUACAUAAUAGAAAUUGGAAAAUAUUGAAAUACUAACUGGUUGAUUAUGUUGAGUAUUCAAAUAGACGAGUCACUUCAGUUCUCAAAACACUUCUAGAUUAAAAUCAGUCACAUACCCCUAAAGAUAAUCAAUGUGUUUUCUUAUGCUUUUUAAGCAGACUAGACUUGUUUUUCCUUCUUAUAACACAACACUAUUACCAGUUAUCAUCUAUGGAAGAAAUCAAACCACCCCUUUGUACCAACAAAGCAUUCAAUGAAAAACCAUAUGAAAGAGAAGGUGAUCUAACUACAUUAACAACCAACUAAGCUAUGCACUAAUUCGUCAGAAUACAUUCAAACAUUCGGCAUCUAACUACAAGACACCUGCUAGUAAAUUAGAUCUCCCUUCAGAUGGAACUCAACAUAGCUUUCAGAACAAUGCUAACGUUAUCCAACAGAAUGUAAUGCAUCAAACAAAACUCAGUGAACAAUAAAAAACAAAGAUAAUGAGCAUGGUAACUCGAAGUUGUGUUUCAACUUCCAAUUUCAUUUCAUACUUCAACCACUCUUCACAGGAUAUAGGAUUCAAGAACAAGUACCCGAAAAUGGAUAAAGGAAGACAGGACUGAAGCAAUAGUAAACAUUAACAGACCAGUGAUCAGCAGUAACAGAAAUCCACCCAGAUUAAACUAAAAACCAGCAAUGAUAUAAAUCUGGAAGAAGGAAAUCCAUCGAACAACUUAAACUAGAUCUUUACUAGCCAAGGUUAAACCAUUUUUCAACAUCAAAUAGAAUCAAAUAUUGUUCAGAAAAUGAGAAUUUUCAAAAUUCAAAGAAGAAAUCUCAAUGAAACAGUUCUUUCCAAUUUUUCAGAUUCAUGUGAUUUUUCCAGAAUUUUUCCAUCUUCAGCUCUUAAUAUCCCGCUUGCAAGGCAAGGAAAAGUGCCUUUAUAGGCAAGCGAAUAAGGCAAACUUCAGAUUUUAGUUUAUAUACUUUACCCCUUUUUGAAUUUUCAUUUUUUCCCAGCUAACCUCUAAUUAUUGACUUUCUACCUAAGUAUUAUAACUAUACAUCUAAAAUUUUACUAAGGCCCCUCACUAAAAGCUUCCUAGGCAGUUAUCAAAGAUUUCCUACCCCUAAUUUCCCAAAUUACCCUAUAAUUACUCAUUAUUUAUCUUUAGCCUACUUCAUAGGUCCAAUUGACCAAUUGUUCUGGUCCAAAUCACAGACUUGAAGCCCAAGCCAAGGAGGCUAGAAAUCAGGUCGAUGACAAAUAACGAAAUAGAUUCAACCGGAUCUAUUUUUAAAACAAACCCAAUUUUCCCAUACCAUUUCAACAAUAGUCCAACUGGGCCUAAUUACCAACAAUUGGUCCUAGUUAACUGAAGGUAAUUAAAUGAUAAAAAAACUUUGUAAUGAUGAAAGAAAAUAAUUAAAACAAACACUGACAUGAUUGGAAAGUUAUAUACUAAAACAAAUAAUUUUUACUAAUAUAAUCAAGAAGAAUGAAAACAAAGAUAGGAGAGGAUCAGAAAUAAAGUAAUAAAGGAGAAAAGAAAAACAAAAGAAAAUUAAGCACAGAUAGGAAAGAAAUUCUUCCUACCAUCCAGACCAAGAAAUAGAACAGUUCGACUUCAAAUCUUUGGAUUCUUGGUUCAAUUUGACAUUAAUUGCAUGUUCCCAUAGAGAACAAGAAAAUAUAAUCAUUUUGGAUCGAUAUCGUCCGCAGAAUCAUGAUUUCAACUACUAGGGCUCAACAUGGAUCUAUGAUUCGAGAGGUUACAGACAGAUUCGAGGGGAGAUAGUCAAGAUUUUGGUAUGAGGGGCUCAUGUGGGUUUCAGGGUGUUAGUUUUGUGGGAUUUGGAUGUGGCUCCUCCAUCCAUGACGGUGGGGAUUUGAUGGCGGCUCUAGGGUUCUGAAUUGAUUGAAUCUCUGAAAGAAGGAGACGAUGUAAAGGGGAGGGGGAAGUAAAUUCAGACACUUAUGUACAUGUAGAACCCCA
rnacentral:lncRNA from 1 species